AUUGAACGCUGGCGGCAGGCCUAACACAUGCAAGUCGAGCGGCAGCGGGAAGUAGCUUGCUACUUUGCCGGCGAGCGGCGGACGGGUGAGUAAUGUCUGGGAAACUGCCUGAUGGAGGGGGAUAACUACUGGAAACGGUAGCUAAUACCGCAUAAUGUCGCAAGACCAAAGAGGGGGACCUUCGGGCCUCUUGCCAUCAGAUGUGCCCAGAUGGGAUUAGCUAGUAGGUGGGGUAACGGCUGCCCUAGGCGACGAUCCCUAGCUGGUCUGAGAGGAUGACCAGCCACACUGGAACUGAGACACGGUCCAGACUCCUACGGGAGGCAGCAGUGGGGAAUAUUGCACAAUGGGCGCAAGCCUGAUGCAGCCAUGCCGCGUGUAUGAAGAAGGCCUUCGGGUUGUAAAGUACUUUCAGCAGGGAGGAAGGUGUUGAGGUUAAUAACCUCAGCAAUUGACGUUACCCGCAGAAGAAGCACCGGCUAACUCCGUGCCAGCCGCCGCCGUAACAC
rnacentral:rRNA from 1 species